rfam:Pan troglodytes isolate Yerkes chimp pedigree #C0471 (Clint) chromosome 18, whole genome shotgun sequence.
AAGACUAUACUUUCAGGGAUCAUUUCUAUAGUUCUUUACUAGAGAAGUUUCUCUGAACAUGUAGAGCACUGUGCCUUAAAAAAGAAAAAAAAAAAAGGGC